GACAUCAUAGCUCAGUUGGCUAGAGAGUUGGCUGGACUUAAGCCUUCCAUUGCUGACGUGGGUUCGAAUCCCACUGAGGCCG
rnacentral:tRNA from 1 species